rnacentral:rRNA from 1 species
AUUGAACGCUGGCGGCGUGCCUAACACAUGCAAGUCGAGCGGUAACAGGUGUAGCAAUACAUGCUGACGAGCGGCGAACGGGUGAGUAAUGCUUCGGAAUCUACCCAGUGGUGGGGAAUAACCAGCCGAAAGGUUGGCUAAUACCGCAUACGUCCCACGGGAGAAAGCAGGGGAGUCGCAAGACCUUGCGCCAAUGGAUGAGCCGAAGUCGGAUUAGCUAGUUGGAGGGUAACGGCCUACCAAGGCGACGAUCCGUAGCUGGUCUGAGAGGACGACCAGCCACACUGGGACUGAGACACGGCCCAGACUCCUACGGGAGGCAGCAGUGGGGAA